rnacentral:antisense_RNA from 1 species
UGUGGGAGCUGGCUUGCCUGCGAUGGCGGUGGAUCAGUUGGCCUGAUUGUCACUGAUGCACCGCCAUCGCAGGCAAGCCAGCUCCCACA